GCCUCUGUGGAUCAGUGUUAGAUCACCUCUCCCAAGUAUUCGGAGGCUCGCAUGUUUGCAAGAGGAGACAUGGGUUCGAAUCCCAUCGGAGGCA